UUAAUUGAAACCAAAAUAGAGGUUACUUGUUGUUAACAAAUAUAAUGAUUAAUAAAUCCAAUUAAA
rnacentral:tRNA from 1 species